UACAGAGACUGCAAGCGUUAUUCGGAUUCACUGGGCGUAAAGGGUGCGCAGGCGGCCAAGUGUGUGAGGCGUGAAAGCCCGGGGCUUAACUCCGGAAUUGCACCUCAAACUACAUGGCUAGCAUUGGAGAGGGUAGCAGAAUUCACGGUGUAGCAGUGAAAUGCGUAGAUAUCGUGAGGAAUACCAGAGGCGAAGGCGGCUACCUGGACAAUUGCUGACGCUCAGGCACGAAAGCGUGGGGAGCGAACAGG
rnacentral:rRNA from 1 species